GAUAGGAAGUAUCCUUAUUGAAAUUGCAAAGAGUAUUUACACCAUGAGUAACAUACACAUUUUUAUAAGUCUCUUAAGAAGCAAUUUUGUCAACAAGAAACUUGAACAAUUUAGUUUCGUUGUCAUCUUCACAGAGAAAACUGCUCCAAACCCUUGGUGUUCUACCAGAACCAACACCUUUCCAUCUGGCACAAAAACCUGGCCUUUG
rnacentral:lncRNA from 1 species